UGUAGUGUAAGUUUAAAUGUACCUUUGGAUAUCACCCAAAUCCAGCAGGCUAGCACUAGCAUAGGCAAGAUUAACUCUACUCAACCCCGACGUGAGCCACACAAUAGAGUAACCCAACUCGACUAAAUCGCAAAACAUAAGGAACCUUUAUCCAACUGAGCUGUUAGCAUUACCUGGUCGCCAUGGCCUGAAGGAUGUUGGAGGGAAUAUGAUUGCCAUGGAGGAUGUCACCCGCAAACUCUUACACAUCAACAUGGCCUUAACAUAGAUUAGGACCCGGCUCUUAUGUCUUCUGACCGCUUCAAAUUCCUCAUGGCAGGACAUGCUAUCAGUUCCUAGAAGAAAGUGGUGGUCGAGUAGGAAGAGGGAGGAGAUGCAAACAUCACUGCUAAUCCGACCAGUUCAGGAAACACAUAAAGAUAAUAUGUAUCCUUUGAGCAAUAGGAUCAGCUUCAUGUCCAUAUGGUCACUACACAUGCCAUGCAGGCGGCAAGAUAUGGGCAUGUCCAUCUCAAUGACGGCGAGAUCAACGUGGUGCAGCACAACUCUGUCUGAGUCAGCAGCAGCGAAUUGUUUCUACGGAGGUCUAAUCCUUUUCGGUACCAGUCAAAAUCCAACUUUUUAUUGCUAUUUCGCAAUGCACUCUUGUGUGCAUAAUUAUUUAAAACUGAAAACAUCUGGAGUACACCUUAUCCAUUCUAAUUCUAAAGACUAAAGAAGUUGCACUUCCUGCUUCCAGAGCGUAAAAUGGUGCAUUUGAAUGAUUGUUUGUUGGGACUAAGCAGAUUUAGCAUAUCCUUCUUUUCAUGUACAUAUCCUAAUAGGUGAGAGCAUCAACGAGAUUUGGUUGAUCUAUCAUGAACAGGUUUAGUAUAUAUAUUUUUGCAGUACAAUGCUUGCGGUAAGACAUCUAAGAAAUAUUUGGAGUUGCCGACUAGGGUAAUCUGGAAGUUUGAAUUAGUAAACAAAUAUACCCAACCAUCACUUCAAGGAAAUGCUCCAUAGACAACUACAUGGAUUUCUUAGAACAAUAAAAAUAUUGUACAAUGCAUCUCAGAAUCAAAACAUACUCUUAGAUUCAGACUCUUGUUGCUCCCAUCCCCUUUCGGCACCUCCUUCUCCUUCAGAAAAUCUGAACCAUUCAGGGCUGCAUCAUCAACAAAGGCACCAACUAAGAGGAUGAAAGGAAAAUCAUAGGCUUGGAAAAAAGCUUACUCAUUUUUAACUGGUCGGAGAACAACCGUCUGUGAGUUGGCGAGCAGGGACCUCCAGUCUCAGACCUUCCCGACCCCAUUGGCUGCCGCGACACACGAGACACAACAACGGCUGCGGCCGCGAAGGCAGCGCCACACGGAACACACCAUGGCUCCUGAGCAGCUAACCCUAGGCGAUGAACAUUGCACACAGUGAGGCUACGCACCGAUUUGACGGGGACGAGUAGGCGGCGGGGUCGGAGAGACUAACCUGGACCCGUACGAGCGAGGAGAAGCAUAGGGAGGGCCCCGAGCAGCAGCACAUCCAUGGAAAGAAGGAACUGGAGGUCGCGAGCAGCAGCUGCUCCUGCUCCAGACUGAAUCGAACAAGCAAAUAAAGAUGGUGUCGGAGAGCAGAGCAUCCGGAUCGAGGGGAGAAGAAGAGUUGGAACCGGACCUUGAUGGCGUCUCGAGCAGGGGGGAGGGAGGAUUCAUGGCGCGCGGGAUAAGGUGGAGACGCUCAUAGCGGCGACGAAGAGUGCAUCAGGAGGAGGGAGGGCCCCGGUGUCGCCGGCGAGCAUGCCGAGCUCGAGCGCCUCCUCGAGCACUUCGGGGAUCGGAUAUGAAGAAGGGGCGGGGCGGGGAAGAGCAUGGGCCUACGUGUCCGCCGACAAUGGUGACGAAUGGGAGGGGCGGCCACCAGAGAGUGCCGGCUGUGGAUGGGGGAUCUAGCGUGUGGCAACAGAGGAGGAGGUAGGAAGUGAAGAAUGGGGAAGAUAAGAAAUGUGAGGGAGCUGAGGAAGGUUGACUGAGUUUUUUAGCUGACUGAUUUUUUUUAAUACUACUCCUCCUUCCAUAUAUAUAGGGCAUAAUGCAUUUUUUAAGACCGUCUUUAACUAUUGACAAGAUUAAUAGUACUCCCUCCGUAAACUAAUAUAAGAGCAUUUAGAUCACUAUUUUAGUGAUCUAAAUGCUCUUACAUUAGUUUACAGAGGGAGUACAUGACAUGCAUCAUGUAAAAAUUAUAUCAUUGAAAGCUCCUUUCACACACGAAUUUAAUGGUGUGCUUUGUGUAAGUUGCAUGUCAUAUAUUAUUGCCCUAAUAUUUGGUCAAAAUUAGCCUCGAAAAACGCAUUAGGCCAUAUAUAGAUGGAAGGGGGGAGUACUACUUCUUACUAAUAAUACUUCUAUUAGGCAGUGACCAGUGAGGGAUUGUGAGUGGGUGCGUCAUUGUCCAUACAAAAAAGAAUUAUCAUCGAUUAUUUAUUAUAGGGCAUGUCCAAUUCACCUGCGUGGGUGAGAUUUUUUUUCCAUCACAGCUUGUUACAGUCAUGAUCAUUUGAUGAUUUUAAAAGUAUUUUAAUACAAAUAUCAAUAGAAUUGAUAAAAAAUAUUAAGUAGAUUUAAGUUUAGUAAUCAUGCAGGUCAUCUUGUGGUAUGUGGAUGGUAUAUUUUAUGAAGUACUUCACAAGAGAUAUUUUGUCUGACACUCCACAAGUAUUUUUCGAUGUGUAUCAUUAUAUUUAUUCUAUGUUGUAUCACUAUUUAACUCUAAUACAGUAUUAUUUUAAUAGGAUUAUAUGACAGAUUUUAGAACAAAAUCAGUUGUCAUUUUAGCGGACUCGGAAUUGAAUGAUGAUGAUGAUGAUGAUGAUAUAAGAAAUCGAGACAUGGAAGAUGACGUUCAGGGUGCCACAAAUCACAUGGAUUGUAUGAUUCUUGGAUAGACCCUCUGAGAACCUCAAAACAUCAAAUACAUCAUCAGAAGUUGAGCUCAUCUCGCAAUCAUUUACCCUUUCAACGUCUCUCAAUCCAACAAAUGAUGACUUAUUGGAUGAAAUUUGCUUUUUUAUCAGUAUGGUUGAUGAUGUCGCUCUACUAGAGUGAGACAUAUUUUUUUUAGUUAAUUUUGAAUUCCAAUAAAUUACUACUCUGAUGUCAUUAUAACUGAGAGAGUUCUGAUUUUACAUUAGUGAAUGGGUGAAAAGGUCUAAUCUUUAUCCUAUUAGUUUAAAUUUGAGACAAGUAAAAAAACAUACGAGACAAUGAUGAAUACAUGGAUGUUGACUGAUUUAAUAUGUGUGUAGGGAUACUAGCGCGCCACGAAGUCCAGCUAUUCAGAGACAUUCCAUCUUACUAUAUGGAUCUAAACUUUUGUAUAAGUUACUAUAAUCACAUAUUACAUUUUGCCUCAUAUCACCAAUGUUUUCUUAUUCUUGUCUUAGUUGAUGUGCCAGUAUGCACGAGAUAGUCAUCGUGACAAUAUAGACAUUGGUAAAAUGAAAAUUAGAUUCAGAAUAUAUGUUUUUUAUUAUAGAUUAUGAUAUGUGCCUUCGAUCACAAAUAUGUCACACUUUUAGAAAUACAAUUUGAGUGACUUGACAACAUUUUGUAGCGAUCUAAAAUUUUGGAUAAAUAGUAUUUUAAUAUUGUACCAUGUGAAUUUAUUUUGUUUCAGACGUGCGUUGCACGUGCAUGCUUACUAGUGGUGUAAAUGAUCAAACCUUCUGAUGAGUGCAGGCAGUCCGAAAGGGAUCUUGAAUUGGAGCGCCAUCGCUGUGUGCUGCUACUGCUACUGGUUUUUUUUUUCUAGUACUGCUGGAUGGAGGUGUUGGGGCAUGUCUGAAACUUUGAAUUCAGUGUGCCUUUGUGCUGUCUGUUUCCUCAUGUAAAAUACCGGUCGUCUGGACUUUGAGUGGAGGCAUUUACCUGACUAAAUGAAGGAGGUUUACUUGAUCACGUACAAGUGUACAGGAAUGACCGUAUGAGAGGAUAGUUUGGGGAAGAAAUGGAAAAUAACGCUACUCUACGUUUUGGUUGCAAUAUCUAACUAGGAGUGUUGUCUUAAGUAUUAACGUUAGUUUUGGCCUAAUGCAAAUGCCAUUAAUAAGCCUACUGCAAAUGCCAUUAUUAGGGAUAUAUCAACAUACUACCUCCUUUUUCCGGUUUAUAAAGCUUGCGUGUAUCCCUAGAUCUAUACUUUUUUUAAACGGAGGCAAAAGCUUUGCCUCAUCCAUUAAUUAAGAUAGAAAAGAGUUUGUUACAAGACACCCAACAAACACGGCAUGCGGAUUACUCGCGUGAAAUAAAGAAUCCUAGCUUCUUUGCGUCGGUGAUGACCCAAAGGUUGGCCUCGGUAGAGAUGGAGGAGAGCAAGAUUGGCGGUGGAGCACUCUUAUACUUAAACACUCUUGUGUUACGCUCGUUCCAAAUCGUCCAUGAGACGAGCAUAGUGAGGGAGGCCUUGGCUUGGCGGUUCGGUGUACCAUUGGCGCAGGUGCUUGCCCACCACUUGUCCACCGAGUCGAACAGGGGCCAAGCGGAAGUGUCAAGCCCGUGCAUGAGGAAUUUCUCAAUGACCAAAGACCAAAGACGUCGGGUGUAGCGGCACUUGUAGAAGAGGUGAGGUCCACAUUCUUGCACCGUGCUGACCAUUUUGUCCAAGGGAGAAAGGACCAUCCCUAGGAACUGCGCCCUAUACGCGAAGGCCGCCGAGUAUUGCCCACAGGUAGUGUGUUUUCAAAGAAUAUCAUCUUCGUUGAGCUCGUCAAGAUGGACCUCAUUUAGUAUCAUCCAUAGAGCGAAGAAUUACGUGAUGUGCUCAAUAGAGACGUUGGUGGGAGGGGGUUGAUCUUGAGAAUCCAAGCGUGGUGCUUCAUGGCCUCCCUCACCUUCCAAUUCUUUCUCUUGGAGGCUUCAUAGAUGAGCGGGGCAAUGUCUUUAGGCAUUCUCCCAAGGAGCCAAGAAGAGUCCCAAAAGGGGGUCCUCGCACCGUUACCAACGGUGAUGGUGGUGGAAGCAUAGAAAAAAUUGAGGUCCUCCUCAUUACAUGGGUUUCCCGUUCCCACCCACAUUUUGGUGGGCUCCUUCCAUUCGUACCACGGCCAUCGCAAACAGAGAGCCCUCGUAGGAUCAAGAAUGAGCAUGGGUGGGUCACCGAGCACGACGCCAAAGAAAAGCUAAUCCACGAGCACUUCUCCAAGGUCAUGAAGAGAGGCCCCCGAAGUCGCAAAGAUUUCAAUUGGGAGGAGCUUAAUUUGGAACCACUUGAUUUGCAUGGCCUUGGCGCUCCAAUGGCCGAGUGUGAGGUUCUUGAAGCGAUCAACGACAUGCCUAGCGACAAGGCACCGGGGCCGGAUGGUUUCACGGGCCUCUUCUUCAAGAAAUGUCAGGGCAUUAUCAAAACCGACCUCAUGAGGGUCAUUUCGCAUUUUGACUCCUUGCACACGUCAAACCUCCACUGGCUCAACUCUGCAAAUGUGGUCCUUUUGCCUAAAAAGGAUGGGGUGGAGGGAAUCACCGACUAUAGACCCAUUAGCCUCAUCCAUGCGAUCGCGAAGAUUAUUGCGGAAGUGCUCUCCUUGAGACUUGGCCCUCAUAUGAAAAAUCUCGUCUCCAACGCCCAAAGCGCCUUCAUCAAAACAAGAAGCAUCCACGACAACUUUUGUAUGUUUGCAAUCUUGCUCGACGCCUCCAUGCGAGGAAGACCCCAUCCCUCCUUUUCAAGCUUGAUAUUCGAAAGGCCUUCGACUCUGUUAAGUGGGAAUACUUGCUUGAUCUGCUCCAAAGGCGAGGAUUUCCGAGCAAAUUCAGGGAUUGGAUCACAGCCCUCCUUAGCACCUCUUCCUUGAGGAUCAUCCUCAAUGGCAUUGCCGGCAGCCCCAUCAAGCAUGGACAGGGCCUUCGGCAGGGAGACCCCGUAUCCCCGCUCCUCUUCGUCAUCGCCAUCGAUCCGCUACAAAAAAAUUAGAUGUGGCAACACAGAGGGGUCUCCUCCAUAGAAUCCGGGGGCGGAGAGCCAUGUUGAGGCCUCCCUCUAUGCGGACGAUGCGGCCAUCUUCUUGGCUCCGAUUAAAAAGGAUGUUGACAACCUUGCAAGCAUUUUGAAGGGGUUCGGGGAGGUCACAGGCCUUUGCACCAAUUUCCAGAAGAGCUCGGUGGUGCCCAUUCGUUGCAACCACCUUGAUUUGGGUCGCUUAACUCAAAGUUUGCCGGCUGCACGGACCUCUUUCCCACUACGAUACUUGGGGCUCCCCCUCUCCGUUUGGAAGCUAAAGUUGGUGGAUCUCCAAUUUCUCGUGGACAAAGUUGCAAGCAAGUUAUCAAUGUAUGAUGGCCAGAACAUCACCACCAUUGGACGUAUGACCCUUGUCAAGUCCGUGAUCACUUCCCAACUGAUCUACCCCGCCACCCCAUUCGUCAUCCCACCAACCAUCCUUCACAGCGUCAACGAGCUUUCCUUUGGUCCGGUUCGGACAAGACAAUGGGGGCCAAAUGCAAGGUGAAUUGGGAGUAUGUUUGCUGGCCCCUUGAGUACGGAGGUAUAAGGGGUCUCAACUGCCCGGACCGACGAUCUACGGUGAAUGCAACGAUUGCCUCCUCGUUGUGCCAUAUUGUGUGCUUGCAAGAGACUAAGCUCGGCAACGUCGACCAAUUCACAACAGCUUUUUUGGGCGGGCACAGGCUGCAUAGCUUCGCGCAAAGACCUGCUUCGAGCACUAGGGGUGGCAUCUUGAUGCUCUGGGAUGAUCUCCUUGUGGAUGUUUCUUGCAUUAGCUUCACGACGUAUUGCCUCUCCGCCAUGGUCCGGGUGUGAGGGACCGACGUGCUUUUCAAAAUCACGACCGUCUAUGGCCCCACGGACUACUCUUGCAAAGAUGCUUUCUUUUCUGAGUUGCUAGCAGAGACGCCACCGUUAGGGAUGGCCUGGCUUGCCACUGGUGAUUUCAACCAAAUCUACCGAGCGCGAGAUAAAAAUAAGAGAAAUGUCAACAGAAGCAGGAUAAACCGUUUCAGGGCAACACUCCAGAGCUAUGAGCUUAAAGAAAUCCACCUCCAAAACUGGUGUUUCACUUGGAGUAAUGAUAGGACGAACCCAACCUUGUGCAAGCUAGACUCCUUUUUUUGCAACGUUGAUUGGGACACAACCUUCAACACCCAUGUUCUUAAUGCACUUUCUUCCUCCCUCUCCGAUCACUGUUCGCUUCUGCUUGCCGAUGACAAGGGGCCAAGAAUACAUCGGGUCUUUAAGUUUGAAAACUUUUGGGCAUCCAUGCCCAGGUUUGAGGAGGUGGUACAAAAGGCGUGGAACGAGAGGAUUGACCACACCGAGCCAUACCAAGCGCUUUACCACAAACUCAAAAAGACUGCACUUCGACUCUCCGAAUGGAGUAGGGGCCUUUUCUCCAAGGCUAAAAUUCACUACCAGGCUGCGCUUUUGGUGAUCCUUCGCCUUGACAUCGCUCAGGAGAAUAGACUCCUCUCCGCCGAGGAACUUGAGCUCCGGGCUAGGCUCAAGAGAAGGGUCAUUGCCUUGGCCGUGCUCGAAAGAUCGCGUAAGAGGCAAUGUGCAAGAAUUUCCAAUCUUGAAGAAGGCGAUGCAAAUAGAUCUAUACUUUGACAAACAUAAGAUGAGUUAUAUAGUCUAAAUAUUACAUCACUAGAAAUUAUACGAUUUGAAGUUUCUAAUGAUAUAUAAGAGUGUUUAGAUCAUUACUUUAUUUUAGUGAUCUAAACGCUUGUAUUUUUUAUGGAGGGAGUACUACUUACUAUAUCCUUCCAUUGUUUCCAGAUUCUUACCUUGCCAAACCAACCAUCUCACUGCCAUUUUGACUCGAAGAGGAAAAGGAUGGCAGAUGGCACCAACAAAACGGAAUGGCAUAAACUGGACGUAUCGGGUGGGGAAAUUAUGUUAGGCUGCCAAAUAUAAUCCUCCUCCCACACGUUAUUCCAAGUUCGUCUCUCCGUGGUUCAGAAGGCGUGGGAUGAGUGGGUCAACCACACCGAGCCUUUCCAAAUCCUUCAUCAUAGGCUCAAGAAAACCGCGACCCGGCUUACUGAGUGGAGCAAGAAGUUUUUCUCCAAGGCCAAGAUCCAACUCUAUGCGGCUCGCCUGGUGAUCCUCCAUUUGGAUACUACGCAAGAAGGAAGGGCCCUCUCCCCUGCGGAGUGAUAACCCACAAGUAUAUGGGAUCAAUUGUAGCCUCUUUAGAUAAGUAAGAGUGUUGAACCCAGCAAGGAGUUAAAGGUAGAACAAAUAUUCCCUCAAGUUCUAUCGACUAUCGAUACAACUCUACGCACGCUUGACGUUCGCUUUACCUAGAACAAGUAUGAAACUAGAAGUACUUUGUAGGUGUUGUUGGAUAGGUUUGCAAGAUAAUAAAGAGCGCGUAAAUAAAAGGUAGGGGCUGUUUAGAUAAAGACACAACUAAAUUAAUUUUAGUAAAGAGCUUUUUGUCACGAGAACAUUAUUUGUCCCUAGGCAAUCAAUAACUAGACCAGUAAUCAUUAUUGCAAUUUUAUUUGAGGCAGAGGCAUAAGCUAACAUACUUUCUCUACUUGGAUCAUAUGCACUUAUGAUUGGAACUCUAGCAAGCGUCCGCAACUACUAAAGAUCAUUAAGGUAAAACCCAACCAUAGCAUUCAAGUAUCAAGUCCUCUUUAUUCCCAUACGCAAACAACCUACUUACUCGGGUAUGUGCUUCCGUCACUCACGCCACCCACCAUAAGCAAAUCAUGAAUAUAUUGCAAACCCUACAGCGGGGAUCCCUCACGCUUGUGCGACACGGAGAGCACCAUAGGACAGCACCAAUAAUAAAACAUGCAACUCAAACCAAUCAAGAUCAUCAAUGAACCCAUAGGACAAAAUGGAUCUACUCAAACAUCAUAGGUGUGACACCCCCGAUUUAAUCGUACACUACUCAUACAUGCAAACGUGUACGAUCAAGAUCAGGGACUCACGGGAAGAUAUCACAACACAACUCUACAAAUAAAAUAAGUCAUACAAGCAUCAUAUUACAAGCCAGGGGCCUUGAAGGCUCGAAUACAAGAGCUCGAUCAUAGACGAGUCAGCGGAAGUAACAAUAUCUGAGUACAGACAUAAGUUAAACAAGUUUGCCUUAAGAAGGCUAGCACAAACUGGGAUACAGAUCGAAAGAGGUGCAGGCCUCCUGCCUGGGAUCCUCCUAAACUACUCCUGGUCGUCGUCGGCGGGCUGCACGUAGUAGUAGGCACCUCCGGUGUAGUAGGAGUCCUCGUCAACGGUGGCGUCUGGAUCCUGGACUCCAGCAUCUGGUUGCGACAACCAGAAAGAAAGAAAAGGGGGGAAAAGGGGGAGAAAGCAACCGUGAGUACUCAUCCAAAGUACUCGCAAGCAAGGAGCUACACUACAUAUGCAUGGGUAUAUGUGUAAAGGGCCAUAUCGGUGGACUGAACUGCAGAAUGCCAGAAUAAGAGGGGGGAAAGCUAGUCCUAUCGAAGACUACGCUUCUGGCAGCCUCCAUCUUGCAGCAUGUAGAAGAGAGUAGACUGAAGUCCUCCAAGUAGCAUCGCAUAGCAUAAACCUAACCGGUGAUCCUCCCCUCGUCGCCCAGUUAGAGAGCGAUCACCGGGUUGUAUCUAGCACUUGGAAGGGUGUGUUUUAUUAAGUAUCCGGUUCUAGUUGUCAUAAGGUCAAGGUACAACUCCAAGUCGCCCUGUUGGCCGGGCACACUUUCCUGGGUCAUGCCCGGCCUCGGAAGAUCAACACGUCGUAGCCCUACCUAGGCACAAUAGAGAGGUCAGCACGCCGGUCUAAAUCCUAUGGCGUAGGGGUCUGGGCCCAUCGCCCAUUGCACACCUGCAUGUUGCGAGGGUGGCCUGAAGCAGAACUAGCCCCCUUAAUACAAGAGCAGGCUUACGUUCCAAUCCGGCGCGCGCCGCUCAGUCGCUGACGUCACGAAGGCUUCGGCUGAUACCACGACGUCGAGUGCCCAUAACUGUCCCCGCGUAGAUGGUUAGUGCGUAUAUGCCAGUAGCCAGACUCAAAUCAAAUACCAAGAUCUCGUUAAGCGUGUUAAGUAUCCGCGAACGCCGACCAGGGCCAGGCCCACCUCUCUCCUAGGUGGUCUCAACCUGCCCUAUCGCUCCGCCACAAAGUAACAGUCGGGGGCCGUCGGGAACCCAUGCCCACCUCUACCGGGAUGGAGCCACCUACCCCUUCAGCCCCCAACUCCGAAUAGUAUCAUAAGGGAUGUAACAAUAUAAAGUAUAUAGCAUAUGCCCGUGAUCACCUCCCGAAGUGAUCACGGCCCAGUAGUAUAGCAUGGCAAACGGACAAGAGUGUAGGGCCAUUGAUGGAACACUAGCAUCCUAUACUAAGCAGUAGGAUAGCAGGUAAGGGUAACAACUGUAGCAACAAUGACAGGCUAUGCAGUAGAAUAGGAUUAACCGAAAGCAGUAACAUGCUACACUACUCUAAUGCAAGCAGUAGAGAAGAAUAGGCGAUAUCUGGUGAUCAAGGGGGGGCUUGCCUGGUUGCUCUCGCAAGUAGGGGUCGUCUUCGAUGUAGUCGAACACACGGACAUCGGCAGCGGUCUCGGAGUCUACCGGAAAGAAGUAACGGAGGGGGAAUACAAUAAAUAAUAGAGUAAUCAAAGCAUUACAAAGCAUAACAAGGCAAUGCGCGGUACUAGAGGUGACCUAACGCAGUAGGAGGGGAUACCGGCGAAGGGGGGGAACAUCCGGGAAAGUAUCCCCGGUGUUUCACGUUUCCGGGCAAAUGAACCGGAGGGGGAAAGUUAUGUGUUCGCUAUGCUAGGAAUGUGUGGAGGAUGAACGGGCUGCGUAUUCGCAUUCUUCUCGUCGUUCUGAGCAACUUUCAUGUACAAAGUUUUUUCAUCCGAGUUACAAUUUAUUUUAUAUGAUUUUUUGAAGUUUAAAUCAAUUUCUAGAAUUACUAAUCUAUUAUUAAUAUGAAAAUCAAAUAGCAAAAAUUCUAAGUGCACCCGGUGCAGUGCACCCAGAGUGCACCAGGGGUUGACAAUGGGGCCAGUCAACUGUCCAGUCAGCAGUUGACUGGUCCACGGUUGAAUAGUCAAUGGGUAUGGUGGGACCCACAUGUCAGUGCCUUAUCUAUUGCUUAUCUAUUUUUAUUUUAUUCUAAUUCCUUGAUUCUUUUCUACUUCUUUUUAAUAGGCCGUCCCCACGUGCAGUGGCUCAGGCCAUGGUUGGGUGGCUGGGAACGCACACAGGCGCUCCCAGAGAGACGUCGGCGGCGACGACGCAUGACGAGGAGCCGCAGCGCAGGGGCGAACGAGAUGGGUGAGGCCGGCGAGGCCAACGCGCGGGCGCGCGGUCAGCUAGUCGGGGCGAGUGGCGGACGAAGCCGGCGAGGGCGAGUGGAGACGCAGGAGAGGAGCAGCGGCGCCGGGGGAAGUGGGGCGCGAGCGGGCGGUCCGGCGCAGCAGAGCAACGCGGUAGUGACGGCCAGAGACGGGUGCGACUAGUCGCGGCGGGGCCAGCAGCAGCGGCUCGAGCCAGCGAGCCACAGCAGAACACAGCAGUGCAGCGGGGCGUAGUAGUGGGGGCGAGCAGGGUCGAUGAGGGGACUGAGGCAGCUGCGGGGCACGGCCGGCGAGCGACGCGAACGACCACGGCUAGCGAACGCGGGACACGGCCAGGGAGUGCCCCUGGGGUGGCCAGGACGCCGUGAGCGCGACCACACAGUGGUGAGCGACAGUGGUGAGCGCGAGCUCCGGCGCGGCGGCGUACAAGUUCUACGACGACGGAUUCGACAUGAAAAAAGGGGGGAAUCGGUGGAGGUGAUCACCACGAAGCUCGUGGACGUGGUCAGGAGGUCGGGGGCGCUCGGGAGGCGGCGCAUCUGAUGACGAACAUCGGUGGCCGUGGCGAAGAAGACGGGCGAUGGCGAGCUUCCGGUGCGUCUGAGCUCGAACCGAUGCACGUAGUCGGUGGAGGCGGAGGCGCUGAAGCUCCAGGGCAUGCUCUCGGGUGACGGGGAUGUCGAUGGCCGCGGGAUCGAUGCGACAACGACGACCAUGAGCUUCAGGCGACGAACAAACGAAAGAGAGAGAGCACGAGGGGAUAAGUGACGAUUAAGGUUUGUCUAUGGGGUUGGGGGUCUUCUUAUCCAUCUCCAGGGUACUCCAGAUGAUCGACACGGUGACAAUCGGCGGCGUGGACGGUGUGCGUGCGUGCACAGCACCAUGGCCUCCUCUGCACUGUACAGAGGUGGGAGGAAAAGCCUUUGUGGGCUGGGCCAAAACACAAUAGCUACAUAGAGCCCACCAGCACAGGAGCUUGUUGGUUUUUUUUUUGUUUUUUUCCUUUUACUGAUUUUCCUAUUAUGUUUUCUUUUAGUCUCUAAUUUAUUUACUAUUCUAAAAAGAUAAAAGUAGUUCCUGAUUUAGUUUAACUAAAUAUACUACUGCCAUAUUUAACUAUGGCACCCAGAUAAAAUAGUUUAGUAUUUUACUAAAUAUAAAAGGCAUUUAUUUAAUUGUUUAAGAUGUUGUUUUAUUUAUUGUAGUGUAUUAAAAUAAUUUAUGAAAAUGUGGUUUCACCACCAUAAUCAUCUAGGAUUUAUUUGCUACAUUUCGAACACUUUAGAUUUAAUAUUUGAAAACUUUUAUUGUUUGCUUGAUUUUGAAUUUGAAUUUGAAUCGGUUUCGAACUAACUCGAGUUUAUCAACAGUAAUCGAGGUGACGUGGCACCAUUAGCAGAGUUUUACUGUACCUUGAUUAUCCGGGCGUCACAAUUCUCCUCCACUACAAGAAAUCUCGUCCCGAGAUUUAAGAGGGAAGUAAAGGGGGAAGGUUCGGGUUACGAAAUUCCAGGGAGUGUUCUUGGUCUUGGUUGUUCUUCUUGAAGAGGUUGAUCCAUUACAUUGAUGUCUUCAUUUCGCUGUUUCAGGUCAUCAUGAUGAAGUUGUCGUCCUUUUGGUCGUUCUUCUCGAAGAGGUUGAUCCAUUACAUUGAUGUCUUCAUUUCGCUGUUUCAGGUCAUCAUGAUGAAGUUGGCAUCCUUUCUUCGGGAACUCCAUCGUACUUACGAAUAGGUAAGGGGCAGCUUUACAACAAUUGAAUGUUAUAAAGGAAAAUCAUCUGGGCGGGGGUAUCCCAAGAAUGAUCAUAAGAGUAUCUCUCGAGUUGAACAAGUGAAACACAUCGAGAGCAAAGUAAGAAGGUACCAUAAGAAGUUUGAAGCGGAUAGACAAUCAUCGUUGCCUGAAACAAGGCAACGGGUAUAGGUAUUGUGUUUAAUACCAGAAUUGAUGAUCACACGGAAGGUGGCUCGUGAAUUACAUACGAAGCCAAGCGUGACGAAUAACUUUAGAAACAGGGUUGUACGGGAGAGUCAGGUUUCGAUCCUGUGGAACUGUGGGUUAUGGGCCCACCGUGUGGGUUAAAAGUAGGAAGGCGGUGACGAUUUGCACGAUGAUGUAAGAAAGGCAUGUCAGAGGAUAACCUGUCAGCUAUGUCGGCAACAACAUCGAUACCAAGGGCGAGGGACGAAGAGAACCAUUUUCCUGCUCGUUGAAACGAGGCGGACCAAUAGGCAAAGUUCCCGUCCAUCGGUGGCUACCGGGAUGUCAUCAACAAUAGUAGCAGGGUCUUGCUGGCAGAAUUGUACACCUGGGUGUUUACAUAAGCAGGAGGAUAUUACUGCUUAGAUCAUACAGACCUCAAGAAGGCUAAACAGAACAAUGGAAAGGAAAAUAUGAUUAUCAGAUUAAACAGAACAAUGGAACGGAAAAUGUGUUUAAACACAUAUUGCAGGGGUAUAUCCUUCCCAAGGACAAGCAGAGCAUGAUAUCCAUGUCAGGAUAUAAUGUAGAAAACUCUUUAGGUAAGGUGAGCGAAAUUUCAUGACUUUACCCAUACAGCGGUGUUUGGAUAUUUGAGCAGGAAACAUUUAGCAUCUGGGCUUCAAAUGUUCUUGUUGAAAAUCGGAGUACCACCGACAUGCUUCGAGAUAGCAUUGACAAGGUCUUCAAGCAAAGGUCAGACUCAGGAUGCCUGAGAAGAAAAAGGUGCGACACAAAUUGACGAGAUGACAUUGUAAGAUCCUCGGGAAAUGAACUAUGGAAGCGAGUUCUGAAACAAGAGUUCAUCAUUAAUCCAAGGGGUGACGAGGGGGUGGCUGAUGGACUCAGCGACAAUUCAUCAAGAUUAACCAAAGAUGAUUUCCACAAUUAUGUGAACAAGGAGAUAACAUUAGUCAGAUCAAAUGAUAUAAUGAUGUAUGUCAGAUGACAACAUACACAAUUGAACAAUGAUAGAAAGGUGCACCCGGAAAUCUGGACUAAGUAGCACGAUCAAUGUCCGAAUGAUGAUUCAAUAAGCAAUAGACUUAGAAUGAAACUGUAGACCAAUAACUUCAAAGCAAUAGGGUUGCUAGAAGUUUAGAAUUUACACAUCACAGACCAUUUGUCGGUAUUCCGGUUAGAAACAACACAGAGACCAAGAAAUGAACGCAAAAGGCGAGAGAUAUUACUAUAUCAAGAAUUCUCAAGAGGUGGUAAAAUUACCACGACAUCCUUGACAUAGAAGGUGGUAACAUUCCAAGGUAAAGAAGAACAAAUGUUGGAUAGCAAGGAUCUCAAGGUAUAACACAAAACACGAAUAAGUUUGUGUUGAAAGGAAGGCGAUAAAGUGGUCAGUGAUAACACAAACCAUUGAGGGGCGAGGAUGGUAUUUCUCAUCAAGAAUUCAAUAUAUAUCUUGGAAGAGCUCAGGAUGUUGCUGAUGACCACGACACAUUUGUCGAGAGAUUUCAUGAAGAUGUAAUCGGUCGGCGAUGACAUCAAGUCAAAUGAUGAUGCAGCGAAAGUCAAAUAAUACUUGAAUAAGAACUCAUAAUAAGUUAUGCAGUUCCGUGAUAAUCUCGAGAUACCAGAGGGGGUAAUACUCGACGAUAGAUCAAAGUAGAGGUUGGACUGGGGUAUUGCUCUACAUAAGACAAGCGCUUAAACUUGCAUGCAAAAUGGAAUCAAGGAGAAACAUGGUCGGAACCAUGUCCACAGAUACAAGAUGAACUUAUAACAAGGGGAUAAUUAUUUUAAGAGAAGCUUCCAUGAUAAGGUAUACAUCAUUUCCAUGGGCAUGAACACAGGGUUCAGGUCGAGUCCCACUUGUUCAACGCAUAACCUUUCAUUCACCUCUCGUAUUUUGAAAAUGACAUUAGUUGUUGAAAGUUUUACCUGGUGCAAUACCAGAUAAGUAUGACCCGUGAAAUCUUCCGGGUUUGCACAGAUUAGGGAAGGCAUUAGUUCAAACCAUCGGGCAUCUUAGGAACAUAUAUCACAAACUUCAGGAGUAAAUAACACAAGCUCGAAAGUAGAGCAUGGUUGUCAAGGGAGAGGAUACAAUUUACCAAAGGCAUUAUAUACCUGUGGAAAGGCUCACAAGGUUAUUGAAUAUUAAGGACGAUGUCAAAUGAAAUCCAACAAUGGAUCUGACGAUCCACAACGGAGCUGAUGUGAGUAUCGGUACUCUACCAGAAGAAGAAAGAAUACAAGGGGAUCAGAUGAUAGAAACAACUGACUAACUCAAAGCUCAAUUGCACAGGAAUUAUGAUUCCAAGAUAAGGGAUCAGAAGCAAUGCUCUGAAUAGGGAUGGAUAAGUUGAAUAGUCUUAGAGGUACAAUCAUCGGCAAUUUGAUUGGUCGAGAACCGACUCAUGUUUAAAAUGGCGUCUGAGCCGGAAGGAUGAAUUCUAGGAUCUAGUUGAGGAUUGCGAACAUUCGCACUCAUUGAAUCAAUGGGCUCAAAAUGAUAGUGGCAAGGGAUGCCAAUAAGAUUACUAGACUUAUGGGGUUAACCAUAAUGCAAGCAAGUAAGAAUUUCUAGAACAACAUGCUGUUGAGGAUUUUCGAAAGAUCGAAUAGUAUUUCGAAGAUUUUUGUGAAACAGAUGAACAACUGGGGAGAAACAAAUCCUCGGUAUGUGUGAGGAAUAAUUUGUAGGUGUAUUCAGGCGAGCAGAAACUACAACGCAAUAGGCACAGAGUUAUCUCGUAGCAAUAGAGAGAAUUUCGGGGUAUCUUGUAAUAACAAGAUCAAUUGGGAAUAGAAGUAAGAACGACAGGUGUAAGCAUUUAUCCAUAGGGAUAUUUCAGUGGUAGGGAAUUGUAAAAGCAACGGGCACAAGGUCUCGAGAAAAUAUUGGAGAGUAUCUUCGAAAUCUUCUUGUGUAGCAGACGAUCAUCUGUAACAAGGGGCUCUCCGAGAGAAAGUUGUUAUGAGAACCUAAUGUUAGAGUUUAGCAAAUUCAUUUAACCCGAAUAGAAGAGAGAUCAGAGUCCCAGAGUAUAGACAAGGAGUAAAAGAUACUAAUACCACCCAGAUGGUGACGUGGGCUCGUAAGGCACACAGCCAUGUUAGUAAAAAGUUUAGUAAUGUCUAGACUCGACUUCGGCCAAGGAGUGUGGAAGGGGGAUUCCUACAGGUAGUCGGCUCUGAUACCAACUUGUGACGCCCCUGAUUUAAUCGUACACUAAUCAUACACGCAAACGUGUACGAUCAAGAUCAGGGACUCACGGGAAGAUAUCACAACACAACUCUACAAAUAAAAUAAGUCAUACAAGCAUCAUAUUACAAGCCAGGGGCCUCGAAGGAUCGAAUACAAGAGCUCGAUCAUAGACGAGUCAGCGGAAGCAACAACAUCUGAGUAUAGACAUAAGUUAAACAAGUUUGCCUUAAGAAGGCUAGCACAAACUGGGAUACAGAUCGAAAGAGGUGCAGGCCUCCUGCCUGGGAUCCUCAUAAACUACUCCUGGUCGUAGUCAGCGGGCUGCAUGUAGUAGUAGGAACCUCCGGUGUAGUAGGAGUCGUCGUCAACGGUGGCAUCUGGAUCCUGGACUCCAGCAUCUGGUUGCGACAACCAGAAAGAAAGAAAAGGGGGAAAAGGGGGGAGAAAGCAACCGUGAGUACUCAUCCAAAGUACUCGCAAGUAAGGAGCUACACUACAUAUGCAUGGGUAUAUGUGUAAAGGGCCAUAUCGGUGGACUGAACUGCAGAAUGCCAGAAUAAGAGGGGGGAAAGCUAGUCCUAUCGAAGACUACGCUUCUGGCAGCCUCCGUCUUGCAGCAUGUAGAAGAGAGUAGACUGAAGUCCUCCAAGUAGCAUCGCAUAGCAUAAACCUAACCGGCGAUCCUCCCCUCAUCGCCCUGUUAGAGAGCGAUCACCGGGUUGUAUCUGGCACUUGGAAGGGUGUGUUUUAUUAAGUAUCCGGUUCUAGUUGUCAUAAGGUCAAGGUACAACUCCAAGUCGCCCUGUUACCGAAGAUCACGGCUAUUCGAAUAGAUUAACUUCCCUGCAUGGGUGCACCACAUAACCCAACACGCUCGAUCCCAUUUGGCCGGGCACACUUUCCUGGGUCAUGCCCGGCCUCGGAAGAUCAACACGUCGCAGCCCUACCUAGGCACAAUAGAGAGGUCAGCACGCCGGUCUAAAUCCUAUGGCGUAGGGGUCUGGGCCCAUCACCCAUUGCAUACCUGCACGUUGCGAGGGUGGCCGGAAGCAGAACUAGCCCCCUUAAUACAAGAGCAGGCUUACGUUCCAAUCCGGCGCGCCGCUCAGUCGCUGACGUCAUGAAGGCUUCGACUGAUACCACGACGUCGAGUGCCCAUAACUGUCCCCGCGUAGAUGGUUAGUGCGUAUAGGCCAGUAGCCAGACUCAAAUCAAAUACCAAGAUCUCGUUAAGCGUGUUAAGUAUCCGCGAACUCCGACCAGGGCCAAGCCCACCUCUCUCCUAGGUGGUCUCAACCUGCCCUGUCGCUCUGCCACAAAGUAACAAUCGGGGGCCGUCGGAAACCCAGGCCCACCUCUACCGGGAUGGAGCCACCUGCCCCUUCAGCCCCCAACUCCGAACAGUAUCAUAAGUAAUGUAACAGUAUAAAGUAUAUAGCAUAUGCCCGUGAUCACCUCCCGAAGUGAUCACGGCCCAGUAGUAUAGCAUGGCAGACGGACAAGAGUGUAGGGCCAUUGAUGGAACACUAGCAUCCUAUACUAAGCAGUAGGAUAGCAGGUAAGGGUAACAACUGUAGCAACAAUGACAGGCUAUGCAGUAGAAUAGGAUUAACCGAAAGCAGUAACAUGCUACACUACUCCAAUGCAAGCAAUAGAGAAGAAUAGGCGAUAUCUGGUGAUCAAGGGGGGCUUGCCUGGUUGCUCUGGCAAGUAGGGGUUGUCUUCGAUGUAGUCGAACACACGGACAUCAGCAGCGGUCUCGGAUUCUACCGGAAAGAAGUAACGGAGGGGGAAUACAAUAAAUAAUAGAGCAAUCAAAGCAUUACAAAGCAUAACAAGGCAAUGCGCGGUACUAGAGGUGACCUAACACAGUAGGAGGGGAUACCGGCGAAGGGGGGAAACAUCCGAGAAAGUAUCCCCAGUGUUUCACGUUUUCGGGCAAAUAAACCGGAGGGGGAAAGUUGUGUGUUCGCUAUGCUAGGAAUGUGUGGCGGACGAACGGGUUGCGUAUUCGGAUACGUCUCAUCGUUCUGAGCAACUUUCAUGUAUAAAGUUUUUUCAUCCGAGUUACGAUUUAUUUUAUAUGAUUUUUCGAAGUUUAAAUCAAUUUCUAGAAUUACUAAUCUAUUAUUAAUAUGAAAAUCAAAUAGCGAAAAUUCUAAGUGCACCCGGUGCAGUGCACCCGGUGCAGUGCACCCAGAGUGCAACAGGGGUUGACGAUGGGGCCAGUCAACUGCCCAGUCAGCAGUUGACUGGUCCAUGGUUGAAUAGUCAAUGGGUCUGGUGGGACCCACAUGUCAGUGCCUUAUCUAUUGCUUAUCUAUUUUUAUUUUAUUCUAAUUCCUUAAUUCUUUUCUUCUUCUUUUUAAUAGGCCGGCCCCAUGUGAAGUGGCUCGGGCCACGGUUGGGUGGCUGGGAACGCACACAUGCGCUCCCAGAGAGACGCCGACGGCGACGACGCAUGACGAGGAGGCGCAGUGCAGGGGCGAACGAGAUGGGCGAGGCCGGCGAGGCCAGCGCGCGGUCAGCUAGUCGGGGUGAGUGGCGGACGGAGCCGACGAGGGCGAGUGGCGGCGCAGGAGAGGAGCAGCAGCGCCGGGGGAAGUGGGGCACGAGCGGGCGGUCCGGCGCAACAGAGCAACGCGGUAGCGACGGCCGGAGACGGGUGCGACUAGUCGCGGCGGGGCCAGCAGCAGCGGCUCGAGCCAGCGAGCCACAGCAGAACACAGCAGCGCAACGGGGCGUAGUAGUGGGGGUGAGCAGGGUCGAUGAGGGGACUGAGGCAGCUGCGGGGCACGGCCGGCGAGCGACGCGAACGACCACGGCUAGCGGACGCGGGACACGGCCAGGGAGUGCCCCUGGGGCGGCCAGGACGCCGUGAGCGCGACCACACAGUGGUGAGCGACAGUGGUGAGCGCGAGCUCCGGCGCGGCGGCGUACAAGUUCUACGACGACGGAUUCGACAUGAAAAAAGGGGGGAAUCGGUGGAGGUGAUCACCACGGAGCUCGUGGACGUGGUCAGGAGGUCGGGGCGCUCGGGAGGCGGCGCAUCUGACGACGAACAUCGGUGGCCGUGGCGAAGAAGACGGGCGAUGGCGAGCUUCCGGUGCGUCCGAGCUCGAACCGAUGCACGUAGUCGGUGGAGGCGGAGGCGCUGAAGCUCCAGGGCAUGCUCUCGGGUGACGGGGAUGCCGAUGGCCGCGGGAUCGACGCAACAACGACGACCAUGAGCUUCAGGCGACAAACAAACGAAAGAGAGAGAGCACGAGAGGAUAAGUGACGAUUAGGGUUUGUCUAUGGGGUUGGGGGUCUUCUUAUCCAUCUGCAGGGUACUCCAGAUGAUUGACACGGCGACAAUCGGCGGCGUGGACGGUGUGCGUGCGUGCACAGCACCAUGGCCUCCUCUGCGCUGUACAGAGGUGGGAGAAAAGCCUUUGUGGGCUGGGCCAAAACACUAUAGCUACAUAGAGCCCACCAGCACAGGAGCUUGUUAUUUUUUUUCCUUUUACUGAUUUUCCUAUUAUGUUUUCUUUUAGUCUCUAAUUUAUUUACUAUUCUAAAAAGAUAAAAGUAGUUCCUGAUUUAGAUAACUAAAUAUACUACUGCCAUAUUUAACUAUGGCACCCAAAUAAAAUAGUUUAGUAUUUUACUAAAAAUAAAAGGCAUUUAUUUAAUUGUUUAAGAUGUUGUUUUAUUUAUUGUAGUGUAUUAAAAUAAUUUAUAAAAAUGUGGUUUCACCACCAUAAUCAUCUAGGAUUUAUUUGCUACAUUUCGAGCACUUUAGAUUUAAUAUUUGAAAACUUUUAUUGUUUGCUUGAUUUUGAAUUUGAAUUUGAAUCGGUUUCGAACUAACUCGAGUUUAUCAACAGUAACCGAGGUGACAUGGCACCAUCAGCAGAGUUUUACUGUAGCUUGAUUAUCCGGGCGUCACAAUAGGAUAGCCAUACACAUUGAGAAAUAAUAUAUAGCGUUGAGCACCAUGUUUAAGUAGAGAUUACAACGGGUAAAAGAGGGGUUACAGCACUGCAUAGAGGGGGGAAGAGUUGGUGAUGAGGGCGGUGAAGUUGUUGGUGUAGAUUGCGGUGAUGAUGAUGGCCCCGACGGCACUCCGGUGCCACCAGAAGCGAUGGGGAGAGAGCCCCCCUCCUUCUUCUUCCUCCUUGACCUUCUCCCUAGAUGGGAGAAGGGUUUCCCCUCUGGUCCUUGGCCUCCAUUGCGUGGGAGGGUUAAGAGCCCCUCUGAGAUUGGAUCUGUCUCUCUGUUUCUGCGUUCUUUGAUUCUGCCCUUUCACCGUUUCUUAAAUUCCUGGAGAUCCGUAACUCCGAUUGGGCUCAAAUUUUAACACGAUCUCUAUCCGGAUAUUAAAUUUCUUCCGGGAAAGAAGGGCAUCAACUGCCUUACGGGGUGGCCACGAGGGCCCAGGGAGCGCCUGACCCCCUGGGGCGCGCCCCCCUGCCUUGUGGCCCCCUCGGGUAUCGUCUCGCGUUCAUUCUUCUUCCCAAAAUUCACAUAUAUUCCAAAAAAAUCUCCGUCUGUUUUUAUCCCGUUUGGACACCGUUUGAUAUGGAUUUUCUGCGAAACAAAAAACAAGCAACAAACAGAAACUGGCACUGGGCACUAGAUCAAUAUGUUAGUCCCAAAAAUAGUAUAUAAAGUUGCUAAAAAUAUAUAAAAAUUGUAGAAUAUUGGCAUGGAACAAUCAAAAAUUAUAGAUACGAUGGAGACGUAUCACGGAGCGAUGCCUACAUGCUAGGCUCAAGCAUCGCAUGGUUAGCUUGACGGUUCUGGAGUGGGCUCGAAAGAACCAAUGUGCUAGGUUGGCAAAUCUGAGGGAGGGUGAUGCCAACACCAAAUUCUUCCACCGUCGCAUCAAUGCCCGUAGGCGAAAAAACCACAUUCACUGGUUAAAGCAUGCUCAAGGUUGGGUGACUGAGCAUAAGUAAAAAGAGAAGAUCAUCCACGACCACUUCUCCGAGGUCAUGGGGUGGGCAAGCACGAGUAAGAAUGAUUUCAAUGGGAUGAAUUGGACAUCGAGAACCAUGCCUUGCAAGACCUCUGACUCCGCCAUCACUGAGGAGGAGGUUUGGAAGGCUAUAAAGUAGAUGCCUAGUGAUAAGGCGCCGAGUCCAGAUGGAUUCACGGGGAUGUUCUUCAAGAAGUGCUUGGGAACCAUCAAGCAUUCGAUCAUGGGGGUCAUUCAACGAUUCGAUUCUCUGCACACCUCCAACCUCCAGUGGCUAAAUUCGGCCAACGUUAUUUUGUUGCCAAAGAAGGAUGGUGCGGAAGGCAUCUCUGACUAUAGGCCCAUUAAUCUCAUCCACGCCAUCGCUAAAAUUAUUGCCAAGAUUCUCUCGCUUCGGCUUGCGCCUCACAUGGAUGAUCUUGUCUCCAACGCCCAGAGUGCAUUCAUCGAAAGGAGAAGUAUUCACAACAACUUCAUGUAUGGUCGAAACUUCGCCCGACGUCUUCACAAAUGCAAAACACCCGCACUCCUCUUCAAGCUUGAUAUUAAGAAGGCGUUUGACUCGGUCAAGUGGGGAUACAUCUUAGAGAUUCUCCAGUGGUUGGGCUUCCCACCCAAAUUUCGGGCUUGGAUUGUUGCGUUGUUAUCAUCUUUUUCAUCUCGGAUUAUGUUAAAUGGGUUGCCCGACACAUCGACAAUCUUGCCUACUGCAAAUGCCAUUAUUAAGGACAUAUCAACAUACUACCUCCUUUCCGGUUUAUAAGGCUUGUGCAUAUUCCUAGAUCUAUACUUUGACAAACAUAAGAUGACUUAUAUAGUCUAAAUAUUACACCAUUAGAAAUUAUACGAUUUGAAGUUUCUAAUGAUACAUAAGAACAUUUAGAUCAUUACUUUAUUUUAGUGAUCUAUACGCUUGUAUUUCUUUACGGAGGGAUACUACAUAUAUCCUUUCAUGACAUCACAACCAUCCUGUUGUUUCCAGAUUCUUGCCUUGCCAAACCAACCAGCUCGCUGCCAUUUUGCCUCGAAGAGGAAGUGAUGGCAUAUGGCACCAACAAAACGGAAUGGUAUAAGCUGGACGUAUCGGGUGGGGGAAAUAAUGUUAGGCCGCCGAAUAUAGAUCCUCCUCGCACACGUUAUUCCAAGUUCCUCUGUCUCAUAUUCCCUUUAAAAAAAAGUUCGCCUGUCUCAUCACUCCCAGAACUGUUGACGCUCCAUCAUUCCUCAAUCCUCGCCUUUGUGGGUUGUGGCCGAGAUGUACUACUCAGAUUCCUUCCCUUUCUCCCAAGGACAAAUAAUAGGAUGUGCUUUAUCUGAAAGUUACCUUUCACUGCUCCUGCUUUAUGUACCCUCGGUCCUGCCCCGAGAUGCAAUUGUCAGCCGCUCGAUCGAUCGCUGGAUAUUACUAAAGGAGCACACAGGAUUAGGUGACAGCCGAGCAGGAUAGUCCAGGCACAGGCAUAGAUCGAGAACAUGGAGACCAGCAGCAGUGAGAAGCGUGUAGGGGGAAUCAACGAGUUCGUCUCGAUCCGAUGCAGUGCAGUUCGACCACGUGCGUGCAAACUGUACUACAGCAAGAUCAUGUCAGAUCACAAAAUUAUCAGUAGAUGAUAUGUUCUGCCGUCUCGGUCCGAUGCAGUUCGACUCGACCACGUGCGUGCAAACUGUACUUACAACAAGAUCAUGUCAGAUCACGCAAUUAUCAGUGAUAUGAUCCGCCGUCUCGAUUCAUAUCAUGCGUACGGUCCCAGAACGCAGAGGGUUGGUUGUUAACUAACGCCGAAAACUUGCGUCACAAACGUUAAUUAGCAUAACCCUUACUAACCCAAGGGGUCUACAUGCUGUUAGAAGCUUCAGAAAAAGGGCGGUUCCACUGAUUAGUGCCCGUAUGCAUGCAGUGGGGGUUACGGUACUUUAGAGAAGAACGGAAAGGUGACAAUGGCGGCAGAGCGCUUCUUUCUCCCCCUUGAGAAGUAAACAAAACGGGCGAGGUCUCAUGCGGACACACAGGGGAAUUCCCGAGCGCAAAGCGAUCAGAAACAUUGUUGCAAGGGACAAGGUAGCUUCUGCGGCCUGAUCUCGUCGCAUUCCGUUCACAUCGAUUUUACUGUGGCUCUUGUAGGAGUAACUGUCCGACAAUCACGGCCGGCAACCAAGCAUCAACUGGUUGUGCUGCAGGUAAGGAAUGGAACGAGAUGCUAGUACUGUAUUUGGUUAUGUUCAUGCUGGGGUCGCGGAUUUUGCAUCUUUAGGACUUUAGCCAGUAAGUAAUUAGCUCUGGUUGUACGUACUUGUCUUUGGGACAAAGGUCUUCGGCUGGACGCCUCGAACCGCAUACGGCAUACUAAUCAUGCAUAAUCAUGGCGAGCGGCAACAUACGGAGCGACACAAUCUUGUGGCACUUGAUUAGCCGCAGCUACUUACUUAACCUGCUUUCUCCCAAGACUCUCGGCGAUGGUUCAGCUAACGGUUCGUGCAGUGCGCCAAGCAGGCCAUGGCCUGGAGCUCAACACACAGGCGUUCAGAGGCUCAGAGCUGUCGCGUUCAUCGAAAGUAGGAGUGGAGUGGACGUUUCUGCGUACAUCCAUUUUCAGUAGGGCACAGGGCCCAUAUAUUGCACACCAUCUCGGCUGUGCCCACAUUUUUUCUUCUUCUUUAUUUUUUGAGCGAAGGCCGUGCCCACAUAUGUGGACCGACUCUGCGUUGAAGCCGUGCUGAAGAAUAGUUCCUUUUCCCGGGCUGGACCGAUAGCGCCAACCCUGUCAUCAUCAAUCGGUUUGAUGGGCGACAACGAUUUUCUUUAGCAAAUGGCUGAAAAAUUGCUGUCACCCGGUUUCGCUGUUGCUCCGUUAUGUGUCGGUGGUACACAGAGCUAGCUCACCCGAGCAGUAGCCAAAAUGGACUACGGGAAUUCUCCCAUCUGCUUAUCCGUUCCUCUAUUCUCAACUGUGUGUCUAACUCUGAAAAGAGAAGAGAGGGCCUCUGACCUUUUUAUUUUAUUUAUUUAUAAUAUACUUCUUUUGUUUUUAAAUAUCUAUUUUUCUAGAGAUUUUGAAUGGACUACCAUAUACAGAUGUAUAUAGACAUAUUUUAAAGUGUAGAUUCACUUAUUUUGCUCCGUAUACAGUCACUUCUUGAAAUCUCUAGAAAGACAAAUAUUUAGAAGCGAAGGAAGUACUACUGAUGUAGAAACUCGGUCCCAUGCCGGAGCUUUUUUGGUUAGCAUAUUCCGAGCUGAAACUUGUCUUAGGACAUCUCUUAGCGAACCCUUAAAUGUUAACUCAUCAAACAUUUUGUUAAAUUUUCAAGUUUAAGGAGUUAAUGUCGGGGAACGCAGUAAUUUCAAAAAAAAAUCCUACGCACACGCAAGAUUCAUCUAGGUGAUGCAUAGCAACGAGAGGGUAGGGUGUUGUCCACGUACCCUCGUAGACCGUAAGCAGAAGUGUUAUGACAACGCGGUUGAUGUAGUCGUAUGUCUACACGAUCCGACCGAUCUUAGCACCGAAGGUACGGCACCUCCGCGAUCUGCACACGUUCAGCUCGGUGACGUCCUACGAACUCUAGAUCCAGCAGAGGUCGAGGAAGAGUUUCGUCAGCACGACUGCAUGAUGACGGUGAUGAUGAAGUUACCGACGCAGGGCUUCGCCUAAGCACUACAAUGAUAUGACCGAGGUGAAAAUCUAUGGAGAGGGGCACCGUACACGGCUAAACAAUCAACUUGUGUGUCUAUAGGGUGCCCCUGUCGAUGUCAAAACUGGCGGAUCUUGGGUAGGGGGUCCCGAACUGUGUGUCUAAGGCCGAUGGUAACAGGAGGCAGGGGACACGAUGUUUUACCCAGAUUCGGGCCCUCUUGAUGGAGGUAAUAUCCUACGUCCUGCUUGAUUGAUAUUGAUGAGUAUGAGGAUUACAAGAGUUGAUCUACCACGAGAUCGUUGUGGCUAAACCCUAGAAGUCUAGCAUGUAUGAUUGUGAUUGUCUCUACUGACUAAAUCAUCCGGUUUAUAUAGACACCGGAGGGGCCUAGGGUUAUACAAAGUCGGUUACAGAGAAAGAUCAUAAUACAUCCGGACGCCUAGCUUGCCUCCCACGCAAAGGAGAGUCCCAUCCGGACACGGGAGAAAGUCUUCUAUCUUGUAUCUUCAUGGCCCAAUAGUCCGGCCCAUGUCACACAGGCCAGACGCCUGAGGACCCCUUAAUCCAGGACUCCAUCAGUAGCCCUCGAACCAUGCUUCAAUGACGAUGUGUCCGGCGUGCUGAUAGUCUUCGGCAUUGCAAGGUGGGUUCUUCCUCCGAACACUUCAAAGCGUUUGAUCCGAAGAGUCAUACUCGGCUUUCCAUUUAUUGUCGUACCCAUUGGCUUCUGCGCCUCCACCGCUACGGCUUCCACGUGUCAAGCGAACACGAAAGGUCAUAGUAAUUUUUGCACAUACCACCCUGGCCAUGUAAGAAGGGUGUCUAUUUAAAGGGACUGGAUCUCAGAUCCUAUUCCACAUCGAGCGGAAAAUCCUUAGAGCUUGCUAGGAGAAACCAUUCUAGCAUGGCUAGCGUUCCCAGUUCUUCCUCCCGUCCUCAUGGCUCCGAAAAAGGCGAUUGGGAGAGAUAUNNNNNNNNNNNNNNNNNNNNNNNNNNNNNNNNNNNNNNNNNNNNNNNNNNNNNNNNNNNNNNNNNNNNNNNNNNNNNNNNNNNNNNNNNNNNNNNNNNNNNNNNNNNNNNNNNNNNNNNNNNNNNNNNNNNNNNNNNNNNNNNNNNNNNNNNNNNNNNNNNNNNNNNNNNNNNNNNNNNNNNNNNNNNNNNNNNNNNNNNNNNNNNNNNNNNNNNNNNNNNNNNNNNNNNNNNNNNNNNNNNNNNNNNNNNNNNNNNNNNNNNNNNNNNNNNNNNNNNNNNNNNNNNNNNNNNNNNNNNNNNNNNNNNNNNNNNNNNNNNNNNNNNNNNNNNNNNNNNNNNNCAGGAUUAACCUCUUUUACUGGUGAAGCCUUGGCGAAAAUUUUUCCCAAUCCAGCCAGGAGGGGAGCGAGUGUGCUUUACAUCCUUAAUAAGAGGCGUCGGGUUUCCAAUCCACCCCUUCCUCCGAGGUCUUCUAGAGUACUACGGCCUCCAACUGCACAAUCUCACGCCGGGUUCCAUUCUGCACAUCGCGGGCUACGUCGCUCUUUGCGAGCUAUUCCUGGGCCGCGAGGCUCAUUUCGAGCUAUGGAGGAAACUGUUCUGCCUCGUCCCUCGCUCCCAAAAGGGAUCUAUAUUUGAGGUGGGCGGCGCCGAAAUAUGGCGCAUAGCCGGGACCGGAUGCUUAUCCGGCACACCGAAGAAGGCGUCCAAAGAGUGGCUCUCAUAGUGGUUCUAUAUUGAGGAUGUCGCUCUCCCUGACCCAGUCCGAAUGGGCCCUCCAAAAUUUACCAGUGCUCCAUUGAAAAAACGCCACAUCUGGCGCCCUCGGAGCCUUGAGGAGGAAGAUAGCGUUGUCGGUGUCAAAACCGGCGGAUCUCUGGUAGGGGAUCCCGAACUGUGCGUCUAAGGUCGAUGGUAACAGGAGGCAGGGGACACGAUGUUUACCCAGGUUUAGGCCCUCUCUAUGGAGGUAAUACCCUACUUCCUGCUUGAUUGAUCUUGAUGAAUAUGGGUAUUACAAGAGUUGAUCUACCACGAGAUCGAGACGGCUAAACCCUAAAGCCUAGCCUGUAUGACUAUGGUAAUGAUUGUCCCCCUAUCCGGACUAAGCCCUCCGGUUUAUAUAGACACGGGAGGGGACUAGGGUUGUACAAGGUCGGUUACAGAGAAAGGAAUCUUCAUAUUGGGUCGCUAAGUUUGCCUUCUACGCCAAGGAGAGUCCCAUCCGGACACAGGAGAGAGUCUUCGGUCUUGUUUCUUCACAGCCCAUUAGUCCGGCACAUAUCCAACAGGCCGGACGCCCGAGGACCCCUUAGUCCAUGACCCCCUUAAUAGCCCCUGAACCAGGCUUCAAUGACGAGGUGUCCGGCGUGCAGAUUGUCUUCGACAUUGCAAGGCGGGUUCCCCUUUCCGAAUACUUCAGGAUAGUCUUCAGGCGAAACGACAGUGUCCGUACCUGCAACACAAGUACCACAACCGUAGAGUAUAGUAUUUUACGAGACCAAUCUGCAGAUAAUUUUUAUAACAUGACAUCACGCUCGCCCGAUUAUUUAUUUCAAACCGUUUCCUAUCCCACCGUUCCAUGUUUCGAGGCGUGGUUGUCAUUGGCACGUCAUGUCGAAGCAGAGAUCGUGUCCCCUUAUUGCGGGAUUCUCAUCAAUACGAGCAUGGGUAACCCAACCGUUCUGUUGAAAAGAUUCCUUAGUAAUAGGCAAGUCUUCAGGCUCAGGAGGAGGCGUUCAAUACCCGGUGCCUUUAUAAAGGAACCAAGGGCCGUCUUUUUACGCCAAACCUCUCCUCAGCCUUUCCAACCUCAAGUUCUAGCACCCAAGGUUCGACUUCAUUGCUCCAAGCUUCCCCAUCAUGUCUGGGCCCAUCCCUCAAGGUCGAUGGGUGGCUUCCUCCAUUACAAAGGAGGAUGUCGCAAAGCUUCGGGCGGCCAGAUACCUGACCGCGGAGAUCCCCCACAGGCUUCCUGCUCAAGGACAGGUUAUUCCGACCCCCAAAUCCGGCAAGAGGGUCGCAUUCAUCUCUCACUUCCUCCGAGGGCUAGGGUUCGCUCUCCACCCCUUUGUCCGGGGGCUAAUGUUUUAUUACGGACUAGAUUUUCACGAUCUAACUCCGGAUUCUCUCCUCCACGUCUCAGCGUUUAUCAUCACGUGCGAGGCCUUCCUCCGAACCCCCCACACUUCGGCCUAUGGCUCAAGACCUUUAGUGUGAAGCCGAAGGUAGUCGACGGGGAAUAGGCGAAGUGUGGCGGUGUUGUAGUAAGCAAGCUUACCAACACUCUCUGGCCAAAAGGCUCUUUCACCGAAACUUCCAACCAAUGGCAGCGAGAGUGGUUUUACAUCACGGAACACCAUAGUACCAAGUGGGCAGCUAUACAUGCGUUCUGUUCCGGCCCUCCGUUACAGCUUGCAUCAUGGAUCAAUAAGGGGAUGGGCGUGGGAUCAGUUGAUGAAGUGCAGACUCUACAGAGCCGCAUCCGAACCCUUCUUUCUGUCCAGCAAAUCACUUCUAAACAGGUCCACAUACCAAACUAUAAACGGAUUCACACCCCAAUCUAUUGAAACCCGUACAGAAAGCAGGUAAAAGUGUUAAAAGCUAACAAAAGGUGAACUAAGCUAACUACAGGAGGAUGAGAAGGACCAAAACUAAUGACAUCUAACCACACAGCUGAAUAACACUCUGAGCACUAAAAUACUAAAAAAUUGCAAUUGCUGAUGCACUGAGUCAACUAUACAAAGGGCAAAAAUACCACUAAUAAUUACAGUGUAAAACCAUGGAAAAUGCACGGUAAUUCCACUAAAAAUACACUGUAAUUCCACUUGCAAAAUACAGAGCAAAAAUCCCUAAAAGUACACUAUAAAUCCACUAAGACUUACAAUGUAAAUUCCACUAAUAAUUACAGUGUAAAUACCAUGGAAAAUGCACAGUAAUUCCACUAAAAAUAGACUGUAAUUCCACUUGCAAAAUACAGAGCAAAAAUCCACUAAAAGUACACUGUAAAUCCACUAAGACUUACAAUGUAAAUUCCACUAAUAAUUACAAUGUAAAUACCAUGGAAAAUGCACAGUAAUUCCACUAAAAAUACACUGUAAUUCCACUUGCAAAAUACAGAGCAAAAAUCCACUAAAAGUACACUGUAAAUCCACUAAGACUUACAGUGUAGAUUCCACUAAUAAUUACAGUGUAAAUACCAUGGAAAAUGCACAGUAAUUUCACUAAAAAUACACUAUAAUUCCACUAAAAAUGCCACUUGCAAAUACAGGGCAAAAAUCCACUAAAAGUACACUGUAAACCCACAGAUUUACAGUGUAAAUUCCACUGUAAUUCCACUAAUAAUUACAGUGUAAACCCACUGAAAAUGCACUCUAAUUCCACUAAAAGUACACUGUAAAUUCCACUUAAAACACACAGAAGAAUUACACUGUAAUACCACUGAGAAAGUACUAAAUUUAACCCCAGAGAAGCACCACCAGAGAGGGCGAUUCCUCCAUGAUCAAGGACACGAACAUGGUUGGAGAAGCAAAAAAAUCACAGGUAAACACCCCCUCCUAUGCAUUCAUCAGCUCCUGUCGUCUCUCGUCUCUCUCCUGCCUGAACAGAUCUGGAAGAAAGAACAUACCUGUAGUGGAUAUUACAUAGGCUAAGUUAAGCACUAAAUCUACAUAGAUCGAAAAUAAGAACAUAAUCGUACAAAAGCUUGAACCAGGAGAAACUCUAGGAACAACUAGGAUAUGGUUGCAUGAAUUUGUAGUCUAUGAUCACAGGAAAACUGAAAACUAGAUGCCCAGAUCAUAGAUUUCUGAAUUUGCAGAAAUAAACACACUACAAGGAUCAAAACAAGCUCACGAAGCUAGCAAUUCCAUUUUAGGAAAACUAGUUAAAAACAUACAAGGGGGAAGAUUGCCCGAGUUGAGAGAAAAUAUGACUAUUUUCGCAAACUUUGGAAACUAAAAACCUAAACACUGUUAAGAAACCUUGAUUACUGGUUUUAGACACUUUCUACCCGUUCUUAAAUAGCUGUGACUGAAGGACUGAAUUUAAGUAACUUUGGAAGUGCAAACUACUAUGAUCUGAUGCUUGCUUACAUUGAAUAUUGAUAGGCAUUAACAUAAGCACUAAAAAAUGAAAUUAACAGAAAAAGGACAAACACAAUCAGGCUAAAAACAUUCACACUAGAAGGCACUCACACUAGUAGCAACAAACAAAAAGAAUCUAUAGAACUGAUAACAUAUUUACAUUUCAGAACUAAAAGGACAAAUUUGUGACCGUUAGAUCAAAUUACUGGGAC
rnacentral:lncRNA from 1 species